rnacentral:rRNA from 1 species
AUACGUAGGGGGCAAGCGUUGUCCGGAUUUAUUGGGCGUAAAGAGCGUGUAGGCGGCCACACAGGUCCGUUGUGAAAACUCGAGGCUCAACCUCGAGACGUCGAUGGAAACCGUGUGGCUAGAGUCCGGAAGAGGAGUGUGGAAUUCCUGGUGUAGCGGUGAAAUGCGCAGAUAUCAGGAAGAACACCUAUGGCGAAGGCAGCACUCUGGGACGGUACUGACGCUGAGACGCGAAAGCGUGGGGAGCGAACA